UUUUUAAAAUAUAGUGUAUGUUUUAGAACAUACAUAUGAUAGUUGAGAAAGACACAUAUUCUGAUCAUGAAGAAAUAAACACAAGUUAAAUAUGACUAAGCAGAAAGAUGGAAGGACCAGGAACAGUGAUGCUAACUUGGAACCACGAUGCAGGCUCUAAUCUCCUCUACAAUCAUCCUCCCUUGUGAGAAAAAUACAUAAGAUCUAAGGCACAUGAGAUGAUACGCUUUCUGUUUGAGUUUCUCCUUUAUGUUACGCAUACUGAUAAAAUUGUUGACGCCAGUUGAUCUGAAGGUCCCAGCAAGGAGCCGACUCACAGAAGAAUGCAGUUUUCACAUCGUGAUGAUUUAAUCUUCCUUGACCUGAGCAAUUGACAACCCCAAUUCUCCAGAACCUCACCCGCCACAAUCCCCUUAAAAACCCUGGUCCAGAACCCCUCAAGCAGACAGAUUUGAAGCUUGAGGAUUCCUUCAUCUCUUUGCCCAAUGGCAUUGUGAUUAUUAAACUCUUUUUCUGCUGCAAAUUAUGAUGUCUCAGUGUAUUGGU
rnacentral:lncRNA from 10 species